UACGGGGGGGGCAAGCGUUGUUCGGAAUUACUGGACGUAAAGGGCUCGUAGGCGGCCAACUAAGUCAGACGUGAAAUCCCUCGGCUUAACCGGGGAACUGCGUCUGAUACUGGAUGGCUUGAGUUCGGGAGAGGGAUGCGGAAUUCCAGGUGUAGCGGUGAAAUGCGCAGAUAUCAGGAGGAACACCGAUGGCGAAGGCAGCUCGCUGGGACGGUACUGACGCUGAGGCGCGAAGGCCAGGGGAGCAAACGGG
rnacentral:rRNA from 1 species